AGACCCGAAACCCGGUGAUCUAGCCAUGGGCAGGUUGAAGGUUGGGUAACACUAACUGGAGGACCGAACCGACUAAUGUUGAAAAAUUAGCGGAUGACCUGUGGCUGGGGGUGAAAGGCCAAUCAAACCGGGAGAUAGCUGGUUCUCCCCGAAAGCUAUUUAGGUAGCGCCUCGUGAAUUCAUCUCCGGGGGUAGAGCACUGUUUCGGCUAGGGGGCCAUCCCGGCUUACCAACCCGAUGCAAACUGCGAAUACCGGAGAAUGUUAUCACGGGAGACACACGGCGGGUGCUAACGUCCGUCGUGAAGAGGGAAACAACCCAGACCGCCAGCUAAGGUCCCAAAGUCAUGGUUAAGUGGGAAACGAUGUGGGAAGGCCCAGACAGCCAGGAUGUUGGCUUAGAAGCAGCCAUCAUUUAAAGAAAGCGUAAUAGCUCACUGGUCGAGUCGGCCUGCGCGGAAGAUGUAACGGGGCUAAACCAUGCACCGAAGCUGCGGCAGCGACACUGUGUGUUGUUGGGUAGGGGAGCGUUCUGUAAGCCUGUGAAGGUGUGUCGUGAGGCAUGCUGGAGGUAUCAGAAGUGC
rnacentral:rRNA from 1 species